GUUGGCUAUGGGGACAUCAGUCCGACGACAGCAAUAGGUCAAGUGAUCGGGAGCCUUUGCGCCAUUUGUGGUGUGCUCGUGAUUGCUCUGCCUAUUCCCAUUAUCGGUAACAAU
rfam:Orchesella cincta Ocin01_Sc1785, whole genome shotgun sequence.